UACGGAGGAUGCAAGCGUUAUCCGGAUUCAUUGGGUUUAAAGGGUGCGUAGGCGGAAUGAUAAGUCAGCGGUGAAAGCCUGCAGCUUAACUGUAGAAAUGCCAUUGAUACUGUCGUUCUUGAAUGCAGCUGAGGUAAGCGGAAUGUGUAAUGUAGCGGUGAAAUGCGUAGAUAUUACACAGAACGCCAAUUGCGUAGGCAGCUUACUAAACUGUGAUUGACGCUGAGGCACGAAAGCGUGGGGAUCAAAC
rnacentral:rRNA from 1 species